GUGGAUAGGCUUUCACUCAACUUACAGCACGACCAUCAGCGACUUACAGCAUGACCAUCAGCACAAAGGAUGGCCAGAAACAUGGUGUCCACAGGACCCAGCAGCCUGGAGCCUUCCUCCACCCCGCUCCUCGCUUUGCAGGAACAAAAACAAUUGGAAAAUGUGGACUGAGCACCGUUCUUCAGGCAGAGCAGUUCAUGCAGGAAGACAAAGAAUGUGGCUCAGGAAAGGCCUCCUACCCUGCUCUUCUCCCACUGCUCAGCACAUCAUUGCCCACACCUCUCUGUGGCUGCCAAACGUGACUGGAGUAUGGCUGGGUAUGGAUGCCCUGAAAGCUGAGGGAUGCUGCAGAUGGCUGCAUUGGGGCUUGGAAAUCCACAGCCCAUGAAUGACCCUGGUGCUAUCCUUGAUCCCUGGGAAAGCAGUGCUAUUCCUGCUGAAAACCAUGACCCUGCAGCUGUGUCUUUGAUGGAGGACGCACAGGGAGUUUACUAAACAAAUU
rnacentral:lncRNA from 1 species